UACAGAGGUCUCAAGCGUUGUUCGGAUUCAUUGGGCGUAAAGGGUGCGUAGGCGGCGCGGUAAGUCAGACGUGAAAUCCCUCGGCUUAACCGGGGAACUGCGUCUGAUACUGGAUGGCUUGAGUUUGGGAGAGGGAUGCGGAAUUCCAGGUGUAGCGGUGAAAUGCGUAGAUAUCUGGAGGAACACCGGUGGCGAAGGCGGCAUCCUGGACCAACACUGACGCUGAGUGAGCGAAAGCCAGGGGAGCAAACGGGG
rnacentral:rRNA from 1 species